AAAACUGAAUUUACUUCCUGCAAAAUUUUAGUAAGAUGUGGGAUACAAUUUAAACCUUACUUUAAAGACAAUUUCUAGGGUAGAGGACAGCAUUAUAGUAUUGUGCCAAAUGCAAUCUAAUGCAUAUGAGUGAUGCAGCAUCAGGUGGCUAAAAUAAUUACAUCCUCACCCGUUUCAACAUAUCAGAUCAGACAGACUGGAUAUCUACCUUCCCUUGAUACACACUUAACAAUUCAGGUACUUCGCCAAGAUAUCUGUUCACAAAAAUCUCCAAGAACUGCUUCUCUGUUCGUUUCAGCAGAGAACCCAGAUUCAAGUUCUCAUUUAUGAAACCUUUCAACAACAGAACUUUAACAACAGAGCACCUUGGGAUAAGUCUCCUCUCCAAACUGAGACUGAGGACCACAGGAUAUUUGGCAAUCAUUCCUGACGACCAUCCCAUCUUGUUCACUAAAAGAUCCAUUGCUUGCAUAAGUUUCUUCUCCGAGACAAUCAUACACUGCGGGUUCUUCCUGAAGGCAGAGAGAAAAUCACCCUCAGACCAACCCCAUGUCUUAAGAACUUCGCGACUUCUACUCCAUACCAACUUAUUCUUACCGCACAAUGCACACAGGGCAUUCACUGAAGUUGAUUUUUCUAGAUUAAAUCCCAUUUCCUUAACCUCACCCACAAGUUGACCAAAGUUUUCAGCAUUUGCCAUCAAAACACGGGUACCACGAUUUAGCAAAGAAGAAAUGCAUGGUUGAGGCAUGCCCAAUUCUCUCAAAAGCCCAAUAUUUGGCACCACAUGCUUGCAGUGACCUUCCAAGAAAAUCCAUGAGUUGCGUUUUAAAACAGCAACAACAUUUUUCUCAGAGAGCAUACUCCUGAGGAAGUUAUAAGUGGGCAAAAUCCGAUUUCUCAAGCUGGCUGACAAAAGGUGUGGAUUAAAAGCCAGAGUUUUUGCAAAGUCCACUUUUGAAAUUUCAAGAGAGCUGAAAAACUCAAGCUUUGGCAAAAGGGUUUUCUCAGGAUCAGCUGAAAGAAGUUGUGGAUGUGACCUAAUAAGCUUUGAUAUCUGGGUUUGAGAUGCUCCAUGGUUUCUCAGAAGCUCUAAAACGGAGUCUGCUCUUUCUGGUGACUGCAACUUGACCCACUUAGAAGCUAAAAUCGCUCCUUCUGGGGACAAUCCACAAGUGUUUAUGAGGUAAGUGACUGUGAAAUUGUGUUGGUUUUCUGAGAUUUCAGAGGUGAUGUGUCUGCAGAGCAACUGACUCUGAAGAGAAAAAUGUGAGGGUUUUGGAUCUCCAACCAACACUCUGUUUGUUUUGGAAGCAAAUGUACAAGAAAAUAUUGAGUGAACCAAUCUGAAAGUCUUCAAAUUGCAGAGUUGAAUCAUGUUAGAGGUUGAUGAUGAACAAUUUCUACAUGAAAACUUAAAGCCCAAGCUGAUUCUCUGCCUUCAGAAAAUAUGCAGUUCUCGGCAUUCUAAAAAGAUUUGAACCAUCCAAAUAAAAUUGCCUGGUAUAGGAUAAACCAUUGCGGCUAGGGUAAGUUUUCUUACCAUUUUCACAACUGACGGUCACUGGCUCACUGCUGCCAUCCAUGGUGGUAGGAAAUCUUCUGCCAGAAAAACCUCUUCAGUCUUCAUCGCUACAAAUCAAAGCAAAGAAAUUACUCCAAUCCCAGGCAAUAAGAAAACCCAAAAAAAAGGGUUGAAUUUCAAACUAAAAAACAGUCGAGGGCAUUUGUUUCUUUGGUACAAAGGGCGAAGAACAUUUGGGCGAUGAUGCUUUGGUUUAUAGACGCUCUACGUGGUUACUCUCAGGUGCGGCCCAGAAGCAAUUUGAAUGCCUCUACUUGCAAUUGGAAUUUCGAUGUAUGAGUUUGUUUUUACCCAGUUUUGGUAAAUGGACCAAAAAUUGUCCAAAGGAUUAAAAGAAUAUCUCAAAGAUAAAGCCAGGUCCAUUAAUGUUUGUCAUUUCUUGAAAAGUCACCUUUUUCUUAACAGGCUUUUUGAAUAAAUUGAUGAGAAGGCCCAAAUCAUAAAUGACCAAAUCCUUAUCUUGCACUAAAGGCCAAAAAAUUGAUAAACGUGUUUUCUAGGCUCACAUAGGAGAUUAAAGGGGAUUAUCACAUUUAAUGACGACUUGAACUUUUUCUCUCCCAACAAGAAAACAAGUCGUAUAGAAGCCACCAAAACCAGAGAAAGAUCAAAUUGCCCAUCAGUUCUUCAAGUACAAAGGGGUCAAAUCAAGAGAGCUUCACAAGGAAAACUGACGGUUCCUGCCAAAAGCCUUCCAUCAUUCCCUCUAUGAACCAGUUAAGACCAACAAUCCAGCAGCUGACCUUGAACCACAAGCCAAAGGUCUUGUCGCAGUUUCCAUCAUUACAAGCUCUUUCAUCCUCUAUAAAUAAAGAAAGUCUACUUCGGAAGAAGAAGACUCUCUCUCCAAAAUCAGACACAACGUCUCAAAAAACAUUCAAAGAUUCUCAUAAUAACAAUCUGUCUACUUCAUUUAGAUAACCGGGUGACAACUACUGCAUUUAUCCAUCGUUGCUCUGCCAUACUCAUAGUAUGAUUUUCUUUUAAAAGUAAUAUAUUUUCAAUUCUUGUAAUCACUUAACUGGAUUGAGAAGUCUCCAGUCUCUCUUUCCUUGCUUUGUAUUUUAAAGAUAAUUGAUGUAUUAAUUAAAGAAGGUUCUGUUAUUUGGUUUACACUUAAAUUAAAUAUAAGCUAAAGGAAAUUCAUCUUUAAUAAGUUCACUUAAUUACCCAAAAAUGAAUUAUGGACUAUUUUAAUACAUAGAAUUGAAUUCCCGCCUUCUUCCCUUUAUAAAAGUCCAAAAGAACCAACGUUCGGGCCCGAAAGGGAAUAGGGGCUCGAAUGAAACAGCAAAAAUAGGAGGGAUAGGAAGUUGAGUUGGGCCCGAAUUAUACCGGUGGGCUCAAAUUAACUAUUAAUCUAGCCCAAGGACGAUAAAGAUAUUGAAACUGGUUGUUAAAACCCGAAUAAGGUUUACUAACCACGAACUUGGUCUCUCUCUCUCUCUCUCUCUCUCUCUCUCUCUCUCUUACUUGUUCAGGUAUCGCUCAUACUUGUCAAGUUGACAUUCGUGAAGGAAAGAAUAUUGAAGUCCUCUUGAUUGAGGCAUAGAAAAGAAUCAAUCCAGGCCAGUACCCCUCUUGGAGCACAAUGGCUUGAGAAGAAGUCCAGAAAAAGACGCGCGAGUCCUUAAUCAUUCAUAAACAUCCAUACCAGAUCUAUUGGGCUGGUCAUAUACCCAAUAAUGGCACGAUUACGCAACAUCACGAAUCAGAAUUGAGAAAAGUUGACGGAUAGGCCUCUAUCAGGCCCGCUCGCUUUUGGCAAACUGAUUCAACUUUCAAUUGUGUUCAAAAAUUAAAGGAGUCCUCUUUGCGAGCCAAGAGAUACCAUCCGAUCGGAUCAUUGGUGUCGAUCCAACGAACCUCUCCAUUCCUCUUAGCAGAGUUGACCCCCGCGGGCGGCAAAAAGGAACGACGGAAGGAAAAAAGGACCAACAGAGUUAUUUACAUUUUACGGUGUGUUGUCAAAAUCACAGGCCAUCUUGAUAAUGCAGUUAUAGCAGUUGGUUCCCUUUCUAUUUGGUAAUUAACAUCUUAAUGCUAAUACCAUGGUGGCUAAUGAUAAGCUUUUGAUACCUAAUGCUAAUACCAUUCUCUUCUUUUCCUUUCGCAGCGUGAACAUUAACGGAUUUGAACUAAUGUUGUUCAUUGGAAUAAAUGUGGCAAUAAGGUGAACAAGCAUUGCAUGUUGCAUUUGAAUGAUUAUUCUCAUGUUGGUGAAUGAGUUAAUUAAGGUUUUUAAUUUCUACGAAUAAUGCAGUGUGCGUGUCUCCAGUGAGCUUGGAUCAGGACGACCAAGAGCAGCCAAAUACUCUGUCUAUGUGACAGUAUUUCAGUGUCUUCUAAUUGGGAUUUUUUUCAUGAUUGUUAUUGUUUACACCAUAAUGAACCGAGCAGACCCAGCAUCAAAGCGACUAGCACCAAGGCAGCCACGCCUUCUCCCAUGCCGAAGGAAGACACACUUUCGAGGUGCCAGACACCUGCCGAAGCUCUCAGCUGCCAAACCUAAUCUCCAGGACACGUGUCGUCACCACAACGGCUUGCAUAAAGUCCCACAUUGGAACUUUGUGCAAAGCUCCCACUUUCACUUCCCUAUAAAUAGGGAACAGUACCCAGGUAAAACCAAGAACUACUCUCCCACUUUUACUGUUACUCUGCCAGAAUUACUACUUGUAACUGACUUAGGCAUCGGAGAGCCUUCGGCCGGCACCACACCGGUGUCCGAAGCUUAACGAUUGCUUCUCCUCUUUUUACCUUCUACAGGUCUCUCACCAACCCAUUUCACCAAGGGCCUCAGCCCUCUUCUCUGCUGAAGACUCAGCACAUCUAAUCACUAAAUUGGACUCAAUAUUGGCCGGGCCAUUUUGAGCAUCAACAGUUAUCUUGAUAACCAAAGACAGUUUUUCCCUACUUUUUACAAGUGAUAAGGAUCUGCAACAAGCGGUCGCCAAGCUAGCAUAUCUUCUUGGUAUAACUAUGUUGCUCAACAGCAUCCAGCCGAUAAUAUCAGGUACCCGUUUUGACGUGUGACUAAGUUUAUGAAAUGUUAUACAAAUAAUGCCACUUCUUCUGCUGAUGCCCAUGUUUGCUUGCUUGGUUCUUGAAGGGGUUGCAAUUGGUGGUGGAUGGCAGGCACUGGUAGCUUAUAUAAACUUGGGUUGUUACUACAUUUUUGGACUUCCUCUUGGAUAUCUUCUUGGUUAUAUUGCAAAUCUGGGAGUGAUGGUAAGUUAAGAUAUCAUUUCCAAAUUCCAAGUAGGUUACUUUAAUUCAAGAGUGUUUGAUGAAUUCCUGUGAUUGAUGCAGGGACUUUGCGGGGGCAUGAUAUGUGGAACUGCUCUCCAAACCUUGCUUCUGAUGAUUGUGCUCUACAAAACCAACUGGAACAAAGAGGUAUAAUCAAUAUUUCAAUUCAUUGCAAAUCAUAAACAAUGUGAGAUUUGAAAAUAUCCACAUUGAAAUGAAUCUGCAGGUGGAGCAAGCAACAAAAUGCGUGAGGAAGUGGGGUGGUCAAGACAUCACAGCUGGGAAUGGAGCUCAAAGUACCUGAAAUUCUUUGCUCCUUCAAUGUUCAAUGUUCAAACUUUUUGUUUUGGAUGAAUAAAAUCUUCAAGUACGAGUACAAAAAAGGCAAUGAUAUAGUGAGAUUUCUAGCUUUGCCAUUUUCAGAGGCCAAUGCAUAUUCCUCUGCUCAUAAGCUUAACGGUGUCGCCGCCUGUUUUUGGACUUUGGCCAACCAUUACCAUGAUUUGAGUAGGAUAUGAGCCACGCUACACCAAGCGACGGUCCUUUUUUAUUUUUUUUUUUUUUUUGCAAUUUCAAUUAUAUUUUCAAUAAAACUUAAAAGCCCCAAAAGAUUUUGGUUACUUGUCAAAAAAUAGACUUGUGGGUUGUUUUGACAUGGUCGACAACAUCAUAUUGCAAUGAAAAAAAAAACGAAAAAGAAGAAGAAAAUGUGAAUUUGCCUUCAUCAUAAUGAAUUUCUGUCAUUCUAGAGAAUGAGAUAUUUUUGGCACAAGAAGAUGACAAAAGUAAAGACAUAAUUGCUCUGCUUCAGUCUUUCACACCACACACUGUAAAUGUGUUAACUAUAAUGGCUCCUCACCAUUCCAUCACCAUGCUUGCUAGGUAGCUAAAGUGGCUGUCAUUGCCCACAAAACAACAAAUAUUGAAAAUAAAAUUCAUGUUCUAUAAGAGCAUAUAGUACUAUUGCUCAUAAACUCUCAUAUUCAUUGGUGAGUUUGGUUUGGAGUAAAUUAAUGGAACCGUUGCUCAAAGGCAAAAGCGAAGCGGAGGCAGCUGAUGAUGACUACGCGGCAGUGAGGAGCUUUGAGGAGGCCAUGUGGGUCUCUUGGAAGGAGGCAGCCAAGCUCUGGAGAAUUGCAGCUCCAGUGGCGUUUACAACUCUGUUUUAGUACCUGGUUGUGUCUGUCACCACCAUCUUUGUGGGUCAUCUCGGAGAUCUUGAGCUCUCUGCUAUUUCCCUUUCUGUCACUGUCAUCUCUGGCAUCCCUUUCGGUUUACUGGUUUACAUCUAUUUACAUCUGCUUCUGUUUCUAUUUCUAUUUCUAUUUCUAUAUAUAUGUGUAUAUAUGUAUCAUAUGUGUUCAUGUAAAAAUGUGACUGUUUACAUGCUUAUAUUGUUUUGAGUUGUUUACUCUUAUUAAUUAAUUAUAGGGAAAGGUUUAACUUUUGAGUGAGUUCAGUUACAUUUAUUAGGUGAAUAUAUGGUCACAUUCUCCUCAGUCUUUUGGCUAUAUAUAUAUAUAUAUAUAUUGAGAGAGAGAGAGAGAGAGAGAGAGAGAGAGAGAGAGAGUAUAUAGCAUAGCAGGUUGCACGUCUCCUUUUGAUUUUCUGUUAAAUGCUCAAGGGCUGUUUGACUUGAAUAUUUGUAAUUCUGUGGCCAAUUGCAGCGGCAAUUUUUAGAAAUGUUGCUUAAGAGAUGACUUGUGUUGGAGGAAUGAAAGAGAGACUAAUUUAAUUUAGCUAUGCAUUUAUGUAUGUAGCAAGGUAUGGCAACUGCACUGGGAACGCUUUGUGGUCCGGGUCUGUAGACCCAUGGACAUUUAAAAGGUUGAGUAAAGGUUUGUUAGAGUUUUGAGCCUUUGUGCCUUUGGGUCCACCAUCUGUGCUCGCAUCCACUUUGGGUAGGGUUCAAAAAUCUCUUUUAGGUCAUGAGGGAGCCAAAAGCCUCCCAUGAUCUUUAGUCAGACAAAUACUUUAAUGGAUUCAAUUAUUUUUUGUGUUUUAAGAAAUUAUUUGAUUGCAAUCAUAAUUCAAUCAAAAAAGUCAUUAGUCAUAAAGAGUCAUUACAAUUACGGAGAAGUAAUAUAACAUCAACAUUAUGACAAUCUAAUGCACCUCCAUUAAUAAUCACGCAGAGAUGUUAAAAUUUUGAGAAAAUAUCAGAUUUAUUCAGGUCCAUUCAUUUCAGCAUUUAUUGAUGUUUAGUACCAGAGACGUGGACAAUGGAGCAUCGAUUACCAUAUCAACUUUUUAGUUUGUGUGUGUGUCUGGUGCUGAGAAAAUCUUACCAAGUUGAAGGUGAGGUGGUUGGAUUCUUGUGCUGCUGCUGUGCGGUGCAAACAAGGGAAAUAAUUACACAUGGAUACGUACGUUGACAAAUAUAUGUUCCAUUGAGCAUGUAUAAUGUAUGGUGUGGGGCUUAGCUUAGCUAUAUUUGUACCAAACAGUCCGCAUUUCAAAUGGGAGGAGGAAACUUCGAUGUCUCAAGAGCGAUUGGUAGGUGGGCGAGAGAGUGGUGGUUCAAAACUUCAUUGCUUGGUUUUUGAAAUUACAUUGGAAAAUUUGAAUGGUGGGCUUUGAGUUUACGUUAGUCUAGCUAAAUCCAAGACCAUUCUUUGUCAAAUCUAUUGUAAUUAUUAACCAUCCAUAUCCCUUGGACGUUCUUUGAUAUUUGCAAACCUUCUGAGUUGUGACACUGACAUUCACCAAUGAUGAGUGAGAGCCACGUUCUUUGAUAUUUGCAAAAUUGGAGCAAGACGAGCUCAUGCAAAGCAUAGCUUACCUAAUUUGAUUUUUCUUUCUUCUAGAUUAAAAUUAACAAUACUUUGCAAAGUUUUCCACAAGCCGUGCAGAUUUUUUUUAUAGUACAAAGUCUACAUUACAAGAGGAAUGAGGAAGGGAAGUUUCACACACAUUAUUAACAGGAACGGACCUAGAAUUUCAAAAUAUGGUGGACUAAAUUUACCUUACUUACAAAACCUAAUUGUAAAUCCGUAAUUGAUAAUUCAUAACACUGAAUUGAAAAUCCCUAAUUUAUACUUCUUGAACCUUAAAAAAUCCCCAAAUUUUAGUAAUAAUAAUAAUUUAUACUUCUUGAACCUUAAAAUGACCCACCAAGAAAAUUGAACGUUUGAAGGGCUGAUGCAUGAAGUGGGGUAGGCUGUAGGGUGGGCUACAUGUGACUUUGGGCUGGAAAAUAAUAAAAGCCACCUAAGCUAUAACUCAAGUUAACCUGUGAUUGAGUCCAUCUCUGAUUGUUAAGGUGUUAUAAGGAUUCAGACUUGAGACUAAUAAUAUACAAAUCAAAGUCUUUUUACACAAACCGUGCAGAAUUUAUUAAUUAGUUCCUAAGCAAGCCUUGAUAUAUAGAUUCACUUGGAUUUAAAUAGGUUGCAGUCCAGCACUAAUUGGGAUUGUUUCUUUUUCCAUUAAUUAACAAAGUACAAAAAAACAAAAUAAAUUACACUCGAAAUAAAGUAAUAUUUUAAGUCAAAGCAAAGGAGUAAAAGUCAAAGAAGAAGUAUAUAAGUAUGGGACUUCAUUCUCCCGACGUCACAUAACCAAAACCAAACCAAACCAAAACCCAACACACACCACACCACCCAGCCUUAGCACCGUCGGAUUCAUCUCCGGCCGCCAGCUAGCUCCCUCCCACUUCAUAUCAGGGCCGUGCACGCGUUCCUGCAGUAUUUAAUUCAUAUGGAGGCGCCACUGCUUCCGGCAGUGAACGGCGGCGAUGUUCGAGACUAUGAGCCGGUGACGAGCUGGAAGGAUGCUCGGUCGGUGACGUGGAGAGAGACUCAGAAGUUGUGGAAAAUAGGAGGGCCCAUCGCCUUCACAAUCAUCUGCAACUUUGGGACCAACUCUGUUUCCACCAUGUUCGUCGGACACCUCGGAAACCUUCAGCUCUCUGCCGUCUCAAUCUCACUCUCUGUGAUCUCAACCUUCUCUUUCGGCUUCUUGGUAAAUUAGCUCUAGCCACCAUUUCAUUUAUUAAUUCCAUGCAUUUAAUUCACAUACCAUAAUUCAUAUAUAAUUAAUGGGGUGCACGCAACGCGCAUGUCGUCAAUUUACAUAUAGCCUAGGUGGGGUGAGAUUUAAUAACUCUUGUCUUUUUCUACUUGAGUUAUGUUUUUAUGAUUUGGGUUUCUUAUGUUGCACUUGUCUUCUUCUUCAUGCUUUUCUUUUAUCUGUUUUUUUGGGAGACUUUGGAAAAGGCUAAAAGAGUGAGAAAUUUUUUAAAAGAAGCCAAAAUGGACAAAAUUGCCCUUAUUUAUUUUUGGAUUUCUUAAGGAAUCCUUUAUAUUUGCAUGUCUUUAAUUUAAAAGUUGAGAAGUUUUUCUGUCUUUUUUGAAAAAGUUUUGGCUUUUUUCAAAAGUGAAAGUUUUUUUGUAACUAAAACCUAAAUUUAUUUUUUUGUUUUUAGUGUGUGUUAGGUAUUCCUCAGUUUUCAAAAUAUUCUGCAUUUUUAUUUAUUUAUAUAUUAAAAUGGUUAAAUGUAUAUACUUUCUGUGAAUUAGACGGCACACACCUUUCCAGUCUCAGAGACUGACUAAAGUUGAGUGGAGAGUUUUUCUAUGUUUCUUAUUGGAAGUUGUAGUCUUUGAAUCAUACUCUGUUUCACAGUUGAGAAAAGCUCGGAAAUGAUAAGAGAUUUUGUAUGAGAGAGAGAGAGAGAGAGGAUAAUGAGCCCAAAAUAUUUGAAAAAUCAACCCAAUUAUCCUAAUGGAUUAGCCUUUGUAUUUUGGAUAAACCAUAUUAACUAACGGUGAAAAAUCAAAUUUAAUUUAACCAAUUUUUUUUAAAAUCGAAAUCUAAUUAAAAGGAACACUCAAAACUCUGUCUUUCCCCCCUUUGAAUUAUUCUAAUGGGUUGUCUUACUAAUAUGGAAUUAUGUAUGUAUGUAUGUAUGUAUGCAUGCAUGCAUGCAUAUGAUAGAUCAUUCAGAUCAAAUGCAUGAUUGAUUGAUUGGUAUGCAGUAUCGACUAUGUAUGUAGCUUAGCAGCAAAACCUAUGUCAUGGAAUUGAAGGAGCUAAAUUUGAUAAUUUGUACAAACUUGUAGCUCGGCAUGGGAAGUGCAUUAGAGACGCUUUGUGGUCAAGCAUUUGGUGCUGGAAGGGUUAACAUGCUUGGAGUGUACAUGCAAAGGUCAUGGAUCAUUCUAUUUACCAGCUGUGUCAUCCUCACGCCACUCUACGUUUUCUCUGCCCCGAUUUUAAAGCUUCUUGGGCAGGACGAAGAAGUGGCUGACCUUGCUGGAACCUUCACCAUAUAUGUCAUUCCUCAGUUAUUCUCACUUGCCAUCACGUUCCCUUCCCAAAAGUUCCUUCAGGCACAAAGCAAGGUUGCUGUUCUUGCAUGGAUUGGUUUUCUGGCCCUUAUUAUACACAUUGGAUGGCUCUUUCUCUUCAUUUACGUGUUGGAUUGGGGCAUCUAUGGUGCAGCUCUAGCAUUUGACAUCACAGGUUGGGAACUUGCGAUUUGUCAAGUUAUUUAUAUAAUCGGUUGGUGCAAUGAAGGGUGGAGUGGUUUUUCAUGGUUAGCUUUCAAAGACAUCUGGGCCUUUGUAAGGCUCUCACUCGAAUCAGCUAUCAUGCUUUGCCUUGAGAUUUGGUAUAUGAUGAGUAUAAUCAUUCUUACUGGACAUCUUGGCAAUGCUGUGAUUUCUCUUGAUUCACUUUCUAUCUGGUAAGGACCCAACUUCCUCCUUUUUGUUCUUGCAACCACUUUCUACUUCUGCUGCUGAUCCUUUGUUUUUUUUUCUUUUUCCUUCUUAGAUUAGAUGGUUUAUGUACAUUUCCGCAUUCAAAUUAUGAUGUUUUUUCUUGGAUUUUUACUCAAUCAAUUGGCAUUGCAGCAUGAAUCUCAAUGGAUGGGAAGCAAUGUUGUUCAUUGGAAUUAAUGCUGCAGUAAGGUAAGUACCAAGACUACUUUUAUCAUUUGGUGUACUUUGUAUGUCAUUGUCAUCAUACACAAACAACACUUUUUGAGGCAACAACGAUGUUGUGCUUACAAUUAUCCCUGCCGCUGAUUUUUCAGUGUUCGAGUUUCCAAUGAACUUGGAUUGGGACGUCCAAGAGCAGCUAAAUACGCUGUCUGCGUGACAGUCCUUGAGUCUCUGCUCAUUGGGAUUGUUUGCAUGAUUGUCAUCUUGAUAACCAAAGACUACUUUUCUGUCAUCUUCACAAGCGACGCGGAAUUGCAACAAGCUGUUGCUAAGCUAGCAUUUCUUCUUGGAAUUACCAUGGUUCUUAAUAGUGUCCAACCCGUCAUUUCGGGUAUCAAUCGAGUCACUUGGCUUUUCCUCAGUUCCCUUUCUGUAUACAGGACUCUUCCCCCUUUUAAUUUUUACUGGAUUCAUGACUUCAGGUGUUGCUAUUGGAGGCGGAUGGCAAGGACUGGUGGCUUAUAUCAACUUGGGUUGUUAUUACAUUUUUGGCCUCCCACUUGGAUUCCUUCUUGGUUAUAAAGCAAACUGGGGAGUUAAGGUAAAACAUUUUCAGUCUCAGUUCCACAGCUAAAUGUUUGUGAGAUUCUUUCGUCUUCACGGUCUCUAAUCUGUGUUUUGUCCAGCUAGUUUUAAUACCAACAUUUGUUCAUUAUUUUAGGGAAUUUGGGGAGGUAUGAUAUGUGGAACUGCUCUUCAAACGUUGCUUCUCUUGAUAGUGCUUUAUAGAACCAACUGGAACAAGGAGGUCAGUUAAAUCUGUUAUAGGAAUCCAUAUGGUCCUUCAGUUUACUUUAUAACUGAUCACCAACAAGGAUUUUCAUUUACUUAUGUCUUCAGCAUUCUUGUUUAAAAGACAAUAAUCAUAAUCUUUUUUCUUGGCACAGGUUGAACAAUCUUCGGAGCGAAUGAAGAAGUGGGGUGGACAAAACGUUGAAUAUGAGAAGAUAGCUGACAACCAUAUAUGAACUUGAUCCUAAAAGAAAUUCACAUCAUGUUUCUCCUCCGACAAGAUAUCCUGAGUAACUAAAAUCUCCCUGCUUAUAUUGGCCUGAAUUUCUCUGGAAGUCAUGUUUUAGAGUUGCAGGGUGCUCUUCCAAAUUUUGUGUUGACAAUUUUAAACCAGCUUGAUUUGUUCCCGGCAGGAGAUUUUACCUCCCUGUCAGUAGUACAGAAUUUAAUUUACCUAUCAAUUUGAUUCAACUGGUUUGAUCUGAUUUCCCCUUUUCAGGGUUCUCUUUCAUAAUCAAUAGUUUAUGUUAAUUUUGGUACUAAAAGUCACUAUCUCUAAGAUCAAUAUGCAUAAGUUUAUUGUUAGAAUAGUAGCAAACAAGGGCUUGCAAAGGAGCAACAACAGAAAAAGAAACCAUAAUGCUAAAAACUAGCUUUCUCGGAGAUUCUCCAAUAAGUAUUUUAUGUUAAGUAUUCGUUACAUGCUUCUAAUCUUGGUCGUUGAAUUGUAUUCAUUAAAUAUGUUGAUAGUAUUUUAAAUGCAAUCCUACGGCCAUGCAGAAUUUAUUAAUUAGUUACUAAACAAGCCUUGAUAUAAUUAUACAUAGAUACACUUAGAUUUAAAUAGGUUGCAGUCUGGCACUAAUUGGGAAUGUUUCUUUUUCCAUUAAUUAACAAAGUAAAAAAAACAAAAUAAAUUACAGUCGAAAUACAGUAAUAUUUUAAGUCAAAGCAAAGAAGUAAAAGUCAAAGACAAAUUGGAACUAUAUAAAUAUGGGACUUCAUUCUCACCAAGUCACACGACCAAAACCAAACCAAACCAAAACCCAACACACACCAUCCCAGUUCACAACACCACCACCCAGUCUUAUCACCGUCGGAUUCAUCUCCGGACGCUAGCUAGCUCCCUCCCACUUCAUAUCAGGGCCGUGCACGACUUUAUGGCCAUAGAUGGAAAUAGACACAGAGAAGAAGACGGAGACAGAGGGAAGAGAAAAGAAGAAGAAGAAGGAAAAGAGAGAGAGUUUUCAAUUUUUAUUUUAUGACUAUUAUUUCAAUUUUCAAUUUUUUAUUUUAUUUUUUAUUUUUUAUUUAUUUUUAACGUACAAAAUGACUAUUUUACCCUCAUAUUUAACAGCAAAUUGGAUGAAAUGUUGCGAAUUUAGUACCCGUUUGGCAUUGCUUAUUUGGGGUAAUAAGUGAUUUUAAAAAAAUUUCGGGAAGCCCAACCUUGUUUGGUAACCUAUAAGAAAAUCACUUAUUUUUAAAAAUUGUUGUCAGAGAAAGUAAUAAAUGAAAGCAGCUAAUGACCUGCUUUCAUUUUCUGAUUAUACGGUAAUCAGAUUUGAGAAGCGCUGGGUUUUAAUGAACUUUACAAACUUCCGAAAAUACCCCAAUCUAUUUUCACGCUCUCUCUUCCUCCUUCCCUCACAUCAUGUUGCUUCUUCUCACAAUCUCUUCACAUAGCCCACUCCUCUCCUUCUCUUCCAUUAUGCCUACAGUUUUUUCUUGUUGGAUCAAUUGAAGCGCACUGCUGAGCCACAAGACUCAGGUAAGAGAUGCAUAUUAUGUUUAUUUCUUUUCAAUUUCAAUCGUCCCUCUUUCUCUUUAAUUUCUAGGGUUUUAACUAUCUUCCCAAAUGGAAAAAUGUCAUUCUCAUGCCAAUACGUGAUAUAGAAAACCAACAGCAAAAACGCACUUGGAAAAACAUCCCUGUUGUCUUUGUCUGUUGCUCUGUUACUGUUUGUCUCGCUUGCUCUGUUACUGUUUGUCUCACUUGCAAAAAAUAUCACAUCCUUCCUCACUUACUCACUCUUUCUCUUGUUGUUUCUCUCUAUUUGGGCAAAUAGAUUUCGAGGGGGUCAAACCUCCAAAGCAUAAAGCUCUUAUUUUUACUUGGAAUUUUCUAUAUUACCUUGGUCAUAACCUUCAAAGCAUAAAGCUCUAAAGAACCUCUUGGUGGUUUUAAAUAUUUUUAUAUUUCACUGUACUUGAAAUGCUUGCAUUUGUGUUAAUAUGAUAGAUUUUGUUAUGGUCUUGUUUUGUUUCUCUUCCUAAUCUCUGUAUCCUGAAAAACUAUUAUUGAUUCAUUGGUUAUGUUUUCAGUUUGAAAUUUUGGGUUCUAGAUGAAUUUUUAUAUCAGUAGUGAGCCACUGUUAUUUGGUAUCUUAUUGAGUUGCAAGUUGGUUAGGUGAAUUCUUUUUAUUAGUUUGGAGAUAGAGAUAAAGAAAGUGAAGUGUUGCCAGUUCAAGAGGCUUUCUAUUUCUGGUACUGUUAAUUACAGAAGAGUUUUGGUAUUUCCAAACUAAUUCAUGUACCUUAGUUAAUGUAGGGGUCCAUACAAACUUUCCUGGUGAAUAUCAGCUUCACAAGCCUGAACAAUUGAAAUAUUUCUAUCCCAAGCAUUUCCCUAUAUGUUAUAUAUAAUAUUUGAUUGAAAGAUAUUUGGGUCAUUAAUAGUUAAUGUGCUUUGAUCAUAUCGUUGAAACAUUUGAGGAAAGCUUGUUUUAUUUUCAUGUGUGUCUGAGGGGGGAAGAAAGCUGUGUUAUGAAAAUUUUAUUGUGAUGGCAACCUUUUGGUUUAUUUUGUAGAGUUGAAUGACAAAGCCUUUGAACAGUAAGUGGUAGUUUGGGGCUGGGAUUACUUGAGGUGUAUAGUUCAACUUUGGACAUUUUUGUAGGCAUUUCAAAUCAUAGUGACUUUCAACCCUAAAUCCUAAAAUGGUAGUGACUUUGUUCGGUGUUGUUUCUUGUUUUAGGGGCUAGUUUCCACAAGCAGUGUAAAUAAAAACUUGGAUAUUUAUGAAAUACUCUGUAUUUCGUAUCCUAAAAAAACAAAAUGAUUGAAGGAGAGUAUGAGACUUUUGGAAAUGAAAGUCGUUGCCAUAAUAUGUUUAGGAUGGAUAAAGAUGUAUUUACAUGAUUGUGUGAUGAAUUGCAAAACAAUUAUGGAUUAAAGGGUUCAAGAAGAAUGAGUGUUGCUGAGAUGUUAGGGAUGUUCUUGAACAUCUUAGGACAUGGAUCUGCAAUUAGGCAAGCACAAGAUCGCUUUCAACAUUCUGGUGAGACUGUGAGCAGAUAUUUUAGUAUCUUACUUGAUGUUGUAUGUCGUUUAGCUGUGGAUGUAAUUAAACCAUUGGAAAAUGAGUUUAACAACACUCCAAAGGAAAUCUUACAGGAUUCUAGAUAUAUGCCUCAUUUCAAGGUAACUAUUGCAUCUACUAUUAAAUAUUUGUCUAUGUUUUAUAAUGUUAUAAUUAAUAUUAUGUUUGUCUUUUUAUCACUUGUAGGAUUGUAUUGGUGCUAUAGAUGAUGUUCAUGUGCAAGCUGUAGUAUCUCCUUCUAAUCAAAUACCAUUUAUUGGUAAAAAGGGGAUACCUACCCAAAAUGUGAUGUCUGCAUGCAAUUUUGACAUGCAAUUUGUAUUUGCAUGUGCCGGAUGAGAAGGCACGGCCCAUGACACAAGGAUAUUUCUAUCGACUUUACGUGAUCAAAGUUUGAAUUUUCCUAAACCUCCAAAUGGUACUAUUUCUAUCUAAAGAAAAAGAAAUUCAUAUAAUUUAUAUUUAAAUUUUUUUACAUUGUGAAUAAUCUAUUAAAUUUUUUUAAGGAAAAUUUUAUCUAGUAGAUGCGGGAUACCCACAAAUGAGAGGCUACUUAGGACCAUAUAAAGGUGAAAGAUAUCAUCUUCCUGAUUUUCGUAGGGGUGUUCAACCGAUGGGUCAUAAAGAGGUAUUUAAUCAUGCACACUCUUCCCUGAGAAGUGUUAUUGAACGCACUUUUGGAGUAUGGAAAAAGAGAUAGAGUAUUUUACGCGACAUGCCUAGUUAUCCUAUUGCAAAACAAGUCAAAAUAGUUAUUGCAACCAUGGCACUUCAUAACUAUAUAAGAAGACAUGCCAAACGUUAUUGUCAUUUUGAUGAAAGUGAAGAUGACCUAAAUGGUACUCAAGAUGAAGAGAUUGAGAAAGAGGUUGAUGCACAACAAGAAAAUGGUCAUGUAACACAAGAAAUGGAGGCAUUGAGAAAUCAUAUAGCAGCAAGUUUAAUGAGUUCAUCUGGUUAGAAAUGUAUAUGAUUGCUUGUUUAUGACUAGUUUAAUUUUUGUUAUGACCAUAUUAUUGACAAUAUAUUUAUUUUUAAUUGAAUACUUUAUUUAUUUUAUAAUUAAAAUAAUUUUUACGGUGUGAUGGAAACAUAUUUAAUACAAAAAAAAUUAUAUACGUUAAAGUGAAAGUGCUUUUCCUUUUACCAAACACUUGAACAAAAAAGUCAUUUCAAUAUAAUACCAUUUUUAGUCAUUAUACACAGCUUAUAGAACUUUUACAAAAAAAUUUACCAAACACUCAAAAACUGAUUAUUGUACAAACAACACUUAUAACAAAAAGUUUACCAAACGCCAAACUGCUUUCUCUCACAGCUGAUUUCUCUCACAGCAAAUCUGACAGCGAUUAUUUUCAUAGCACAGCAAUGUCAAACUAACCCUUAGACGGCAGGGGGGAAAUUGGCCAAAAAAAAAAAGUUUAUAUCCUUAAUUUUCUAAAAAAAAAAAAGAUAGGGAGUUAAUUGAAAGUAAGGUACAAAUUCAGGGGGCAAAUCGCUAGUAUACCAAUUCUUGAAAACCGUCAACCAAGUAAAUAAAAAACAGGGCCUCUUUAUAUAUUUUGGCGAACGAAGAGAAGUUCAUUGAACAGAAAUUCAUUCCAAAAAACAGUGAAAUUGAUAACAAUUGCCAAACCACCCUACUUUGCACAUCCACCGGAGCAGGGUUUUAUGUCCCUUGAAUUCCCAAUUCAUCAACCAUUGCAGAUCGUGUUCCUAAUCGUUAAGGUCUCGGUAAAAAGGCUAACACGAGUUAAAACAAUGAGAAAAUGAUGCUUAUCGAGUCCUUUGAUGCCACGUUGACAUGAUUCCAUAUGAAUCUAAUCAAUCAUUGACACUGAAGUGGUUCCUAUAAACCAACCGUGGCCAAUUAAGUAGGCUAGCUGCAUCUCAAAGGACAAUUACUCAAAGAGCAGGAGAUAAAGAAUUGAGAGUCAUUCUUAUCUUUUGAAAAAUGGACAGAAAUUAGUUUCUUCCACUCCUCACCCAAAAUAUAAUACACUGUACCCUAACAGAACCAAUACACGCGCACAUUCUACAAAAUCAACUUUCAAGCGUAACCAAAGUUGGGAACCAUAAACAGAACAAUUCGGGCGACGCUACAGCAGGCAUUUGUUCUAAUAAGAAAGCAUAUAUAAAUCUAAUUAAAAACAGGUAGGCUGCCGAGUAGAAGAAUGAAAAAUUGAAUUUACUUCCUGCAAAAUUUUAGUAAGAUGUGGGAUACAAUUUAAACCUUACUUUAAAGACAAAAUUUCUAGGGUAGAGGACAGCAUUAGUAUUGUGCCAAAAGCAAGCUAAUGCAUAUGAGUGAUGCAGCAUCAGGUGGCUAAAAUAAUUACAUCCUCACCCGUUUCAACAUAUCAGAUCAGACAUCCUGGAUAUCUACCUUCCCUUGAUACACACCUAACAAUUCAGGUACUUCGCCAAGAUAUCUGUUCACAAAAAUCUCCAAGAACUGCUUCUCUGCCGGUUUCAGCAGAGAACCCAGAUUCAAGUUCUCAUUUAUGAAACCUUUCAACAGCAGAACUUUAACAACAGAGCACCUUGGGAUAAGUCUCCUCUCCAAACUGAGACUGAGGACCACAGGAUAUUUGGCAAUCAUUCCUGACGACCAUCCCAUCUUGUUCACUAAAAGAUCCAUUGCUUGCAUAAGUUUCUUCUCCGAGACAAUCAUACACCGCGGGUUCUUCCUGAAAGCGGAGAGAAAAUCAUCCUCAGACCAACCCCAUGUCUUAAGAACUUCGCGACUUCUACUCCAUACCAACUUAUUCUUGCCGCACAAUGCACACAUGGCAUUCACUGAAGUUGAUUUUUCCAGAUUAAAUCCCAUUUCCUUAACCUCACUCACAAGUUGACCAAAGUUUUCAGGAUUUACCAUCAAAACGCGAGUACCAUGAGUUAGCAAAAAAGAAAUGCAUGGUUGAGGCAUGCCCAAUUCUCUCAAAAGCCCAAUAUUUGGCACCACAUGCUUGCAGUGACCUUCCAAGAAAAUCCAUGAGUUGCGUUUUAAAACAGCAACAACAUUUUUCUCAGAGAGCAUACUCCUGAGGAAGUUAUAAGUGGGCAAAAUCCGAUUUCUCAAGCUGACUGACAAAAGGUGUGGAUUAAAAGCCAGAGUUUUUGCAAAGUCCACUUUUGAAAUUUCAAGAGAGCUGAAAAACUCAAGCUUUGGCAAAAGGGUUUUCUCAGGAUCAGCUGAAAGAAGUUUUGGAUGUGACCUAAUAAGCUUUGAUAUCUGGGUUUGAGAUGCUCCAUGGUUUCUCAGAAGCUCUAAAACGGAGUCUGCUCUUUCUGGUGACUGCAACUCGACCCACUUAGAAGCUAAAAUCGCUCCUUCUGGGGACAAUCCACAAGUGUUUAUGAGGUAAAUGACUGUGAAAUUGUGUUGGUUUUCUGAGAUUUCAGAGGUGAUGUGUCUGCAGAGCAACUGACUCUGAAGAGAAAAAUGUGAGGGUUUUGGAUCUCCAACCAACACUCUGUUUGUUUUGGAAGCAAAUGUACAAGAAAAUAUUGAGUGACCCAAUCUGAAGGUCUUCAAAUUGCAGAGUUGAAUCAUGUUAGAGGUUGAUGACGAACAAUUUCUACAGAAAAACUUAAAGCCCUAGCUGAUUCUCUGCCUUUAGAAAGUAUGCAGUUCUCGGCAUUCAAAAAAGAUCUGAACCAUCCAAAUAAAAUUGCCUGGUAUAGGAUAAACCAUUGCAGCUAGGGUAAGUUUUCUUACCAUUUUCACAACUGACGGCCACUGACUUACUGCUGCUAUCCAUGGUGGUAGGAAAUAUUCUGCCAGAAAAACCUCUUCAGUCUUCAUAGGUACAAAUCAAAGCAAAGCAAUUACUCCAAUCCCAGGCAACAAGAAAACCCAAAAAAAGGGUUGAAUUUCAAAGUUAAAAACAGUCGAGGGCAUUUGUUUUUUUGGGACAAAGGGCGAAGAACAUUUGGGCGAUGAUGCUUUGGUUUAUAGACGCUCGACGUGGUUACUCUCAAGUGCGGCCCAGAAGCAAUUUGAAAGCGCCACUUUUUGCAAUUGGAAUUUGGAUGUAGGAGUUAUUUACAUUUUACGGUGUGUUGUCAAAAUCCUUGAGGUUUCGAAAAUUAGGUGAUGACGUACCUGAAGUUUCAAAUUCUUCUCACAAAAUUUGGUAUCAUUAUUUUUUCGUCCAAAAGUUAAUGAUUUCAUAUAUAAAAAUACUUACACAAAUAACAAAUAACAAAUUUAAUCUCGAUUCGAUUAAAAAACUAACUUGUAAGGGGCUUGAAGCUUAAUUGGUUAAGAAGAUAUAUCUCAUCCUAAGUUCAAUUCCCUCUUAUUGAAUUUCGCUUGUAAAAAUCUAAGUACUAAAUUUGUUAUUAUUUGAAGACUUUUUUUAUAUAUAAAAUCAUCAAUUAUAGAAGGACAAAUUAAUGGAAAAAGGUUUUGAGAAAACAAUUUAAAACUUUAUGGAGUAUGCUGCUAUUUCCACCCACCUAUCAUAUUUUCCCACAAACUUUAUCUUCAAAAUUUUAACGACAAAUUUACCCAUUUGUAAAAUGACUUUUGAUGACAAAUUUACAACUCUAUCUAUCUCUCUAACAAGCACCCACGCCCACAAUUUUUUUUUUUAAACCCAUACCCAUCUUCAUACCCAACCCACCAAAUAAUAAUAAUAAUAAUAAUAAUAAUAAUUCCAUAUUCGCACAGUAAUUACCAUCAUUCAACAUCAAAUCAUGUACCACUUCACACCAUCCCCAAAGCUUCAUUUAUAUCAAUAUAACAACUAAUAACCACAAUUAAAUAAUAUUAUAAUCUUAAAAUUAAACGACUAUAAACAUACCUUAUAAAUGUUCAAAGAGUAAUGUACACUAAAUCAAAAGUCCAAACACUACCAAAACUUGUUAUACGGCCUCAACAACACAUUUAAAAUCAAACCCUAGUUCCCGAGACUUCACGCGGACCCACCACCUUAGAGAAGUCCUAAGGCUAUUCUAGUACUUUACAAAGGACGGGAUAGUCUCAAAAAACUCUAGGUCAAUGGUUUGUUCAAACUUUCCAUUUUUUUGUCAAUAGGGCCUGCGAGGCCCAUGACUUUUGAUUUCAAGACCAAAAGUUCCUAGAGGUCCAACCAGGUCUACUAAACACAUCCUGAAAGUUUGGUUUCGAUCGAGUGGUAAGAUCGCUCUUGAUUGCGCGAUCAGACGGUCACCGAUUUACCAAACCCUAAAAUCAUUGAUUCAGAGUAUCCGGAACUCUGAUUCUCAAGCCGUGAGUUCCUACACGAUCUCAGAGGCACGAGAAAUGACAUACUUGGAAUUGGAGCCAAUCCAAUGGUUCAAACAUAUCAAACCCAUAUAUUGCUUAAUAGGCGUAAAUCUGUUCGACUGUCAUACGAUAACCAAAUUCGAAUCCUAGCAUACUGUCGCGCUCGGGACUACAUGGAGAACAUUUUAGAACACAAUGGGCCACCACACCAUGGCCCACGCCCCGCCACAAAUGUCGGCAGCGCAUGGGUGGAUUGAGAAAAUUUCGGCUAUGUAAAAUUCUCGAAACACCCUACAAUACCUAUACCAAUACGUUCAGACUAACAAUGGGAACACUUUUUUGUUUCUUGGACCAUGGUCAAAACGCGACCGGAGCUAGAUGAAAUCACGACCAAAACACCUGCCUAAUAUGGGUAUAUUGAACGAUCUGUAAACCUCAAAAUCGAUUUACAAUACGUAUAUAAACAGAUAGAGCACGAAGAGUAGAUGAAGUUUCAUACCUAACUCAACGAAAAUGGCGGCCAGAGUCGCUGAAAACGGCGUUAAAAACUUCUAAAAUCACCCGAACUUCCAAUCGUUCCAAUUUAAUUUCCUUGGGUUUUUGAGCUGGGAAAAUGAGUGGAUUAGAUAGAGGACGUCGAUACGAAACUUUUGCAACCAAUUUCACCUUAGUCGGACACUGGACGACAACGAAAUCGCAGUCAUAAAUUUGAUGCUGCGUGCGGAGGAAAGAUAGAGAGAGAGAGAAAGCUUAUCUGUUUUUAAAAUCCAACUUCGAAAAAUUUACGGUUGUGCCACUACACUUCCGUUGACCACAAUUUCUUCAUUAAAACCCCAAUUUGGGCCUACUACGUGUCCACAAACUCGUGAGAGCGAGCUCUACACAAUGGUGUCACUCAUUUCCCCUAGAUCCUUCUAGAUUAAAAGUGACCAAAUUACACCUACUCCCAAGGGUAAAAUUAUAAUUUCACAAAAGAAUUAAAUUUGAUUAAAUUGGGUCAAGGAUGUUAGAGUACGGAUUUUUGGUAAAUAAAGCCCAACGUUUUGUAAAAUGAACCCAAUAGCCCAUUUUGGCUAGUGCGUAGAUUCUAGAAAUUUGUCUAAUCUUAUACCGAAUGUUUUGGGGGUGCUUUUUUAUGCCAUGUGUUCUCUUAUGUGCAUUUAGGGCUUAAUAAAAUAGUCUCAUUUCGUCAUAUUUUUAUUGCACAAAUGCGUAUUUACGCAUCAAAAUUCAACACUUCGGUAUUUCUCUUCCAAUUUCAACCAUAAUUCUCGUUGUCUCCAAAUGGCUUCAAACAUGACUCCAAAAAUGCGUGGAUGCAUAGUGGCUUGGAACACAAUCCUAAAAUGUGUUAGUUGCUUGAUCCGAUCAUCAAUUUCAUUCAGAGUGACGAUUUUUUUUUUCUUUCAACAACUCUUCUACAACAUUUGACCAUUUUUUUUCUUGUUGAAAGUCACAAGUUUUGUCAACUUACCCCAAAAAAGAAAAAAAAAAAAAAAAAAAAAGAGGCCAAAAUAGUAAUACUAAAGUCCUUAUCUAACCUCCCGUAUCUCUUCAAUUGAGAGAUAUUUGAGGUUGACCCUUGUAGGAAGCAAGUGCUGAGUUCUUCAAAGACUAGGUAGAUGGAUAAUUCAAAAUUUUACCCAAUUUAUGAGGAUUUGAAUUUCAGCAAAGUGUUUGAUAGCAUUCUUGCGCUCCAUGAAUGAGGGGGGAAUUGAUUCUAAACAAUUUUAAUUGGGGAAAAGAAAGCCCACACUCCAACAAAUAUUGUGUAUGUGGACAUCGAGGACUAAAAAUAUGUGUUUUAGCUAAAAUAUAGAAGAAGCUGAGAAAAAAGAAAAAUUAGCCCAGCCCGGUAUAAAUUCCUUGUUCCGCCCUUAUUUGGGUGGGCUAAGGAAAUUUAUGUGUGGAAAGGGGAAUGGAGGAAGGGCCUGUAAAGAGGGAAGGGGGAUUGGAUUUCAAGAUGGGCGGGGUUGGUUGGAGCCGUUGGUGGUGCACAUAUGAUGGGGUAAGGUGAUAAUUUUUUUUAUUUUCAAUUUUUUUUUUAUAAUGAUUUUUCUAUUCUUAAUAUACCCUUGAAAAUGGAAAAACUAAAAUAUCCUUAAAAAUAUAUGGAAAAUUGGAUGGUGUUAAAGUGAGAUGACAAAUCAUGAAUUUUGAAAAAUUAAGGUGACACUUCUCUUAAAUUUUUCUUAAUAACAAAUUUAUUUCAAGGUAUAAGUUCAUGUAACAUUUAAAAAAAAAAAUUAAAAUCCCUUCAGGAAAUUAAGUGCUUGCAUAACAUCAGAAAAUUCAUUUUCAGGCACUUAUUUUCUCAUGGCUUGGGGCAAUGAAUUGCAUGUAUGCCAACUAAGAAUCAAUUCUUGAAAACUGUCAACCAAGUAAAGAAUAAACAAGGCAUCUUUUUAUAUUUUGACGAACAAAGAGAAGUUCCACGCAUCUUUGCACAACCAUUAGUGCGGGAUAGAUUCAUCCUAAAUAUAACAACUGCCAAACCACCCUACUUUGCACAUCCAUCAGAGCCGGGUUUUAUGUCCCCUGAAUUCCCAAUUCAUCAAGCAUUGCAGAUAUCGCGUUCCGAAUUGUUAAGGUCUCGGUAAAAAGGCUAACACGAGAGAAAACAAUGAGAAAAUGAUGCUUAUCGAGUCCUUUGAUGCCAUGUUGACAUGAUUCCAUAUGAAACUAAUCAAUCAUUGACACUGAAGUAGUUCCUAUAAACCAACCGUGGCCGCUUAACUAGGCUAGCUGCAUCUCAGAGGACAAUUACUCAGAGAGCAGGGGAUAAAGGAUUGAGAGUCAUUCUUAUCUUUUGAAAAAUGGACAGAAAUUAGUUUCUUCCACUCCUCACCCAAAAUACAAUAUAUUGUACCCUAAUAGAAGCAAUACAAGCGCACAUUGUACAAAAUCAACUUUCAAGGGUAACCAAAGUCGGGAACCAUAAACAGAACAAUUCGGGCGACGCUACGGCAAGCAUUUGUUCUAAUAAGAAAGCAUAUAUAAAUCUAAUUAAAAACAGGUAGGCUGCAGAGUAGAAGAACGAAAAACUGAAUUUACUUCCUGCAAAAUUUUAGUAAGAUGUGGGAUACAAUUUAAACCUUACUUUAAAGAGAAUUUCUAGGGUAGAGGACAGCAUUAUAGUAUUGUGCCAAAAGCAAGCUAAUGCAUACGAGUGAUGCAGCAUCAGGUGGCUAAAAUAAUUACAUCCUCACCCAUUUCAACAUAUCAGAUCAGACAUCCUGGAUAUCUACCUUCCCUUGAUACACACUUAACAAUUCAGGUACUUCGCCAAGAUAUCUGUUCACAAAAAUCUCCAAGAACUGCUUCUCUGUAGGUUUCAGCAGAGAACCCAGAUUCAAGUUCUCAUUUAUGAAACCUUUCAACAACAGAACUUUAACAACAGAGCACCUUGGGAUAAGUCUCCUCUCCAAACUG
rnacentral:lncRNA from 1 species